rnacentral:rRNA from 1 species
ACUUGCGGGAAGGAUCAUUG